rfam:Candidatus Liptonbacteria bacterium RIFCSPLOWO2_01_FTLL_53_13 rifcsplowo2_01_scaffold_122464, whole genome shotgun sequence.
GCGUCGGUGGCGGAGCGGUCAAUCGCAAGAGACUGUAAAUCUCUCGCCCUAUGGGCUACGUAGGUUCGAAUCCUACCCGGCGCA